GUUUACCUCACACUAUGAGAAGAAGCAGGGUGAUGUGAGGGAAAGGCGACGGACGGACGGAUUACAAGCAGCCUCGGGGAACAAGGAACGGGGCUGAGGAGCAGGCAAUGAGCGGAAUGCGACGGGAACAGCGGAUGCCUGAAAAGAUCUGCUGCCGAAGAAAGGCGAAGCGGCGUGGGCAACUGGGAGGCAGGAGCGAGGAAGAAGAGGAAACCGAAGCCUGCAGAUGCGGGGGGGAAAGAGAGAGGCAGCCUGGGCAAAGCAGCUUCCUGUUAGCGGGGAUAGAGUCACACUUGAGUUGAGCGUUGCCGGCGCCUUGGUAGACCAGGCCGGCUUUGUGCUGGGCGACCUCCCUGUAAGCAGGGCUCGGGUCUUUGCUGUAGUUGUAGUUGGCCUUUUGCCUCGUUGCUCCUUUGGCUGCCUGGGGAGCGUGGCCCCCUGUACGGAGGGCGAGAGCCACCUCUCCGCACCCGAGUGGGAAACGGAGCUCGCCGGACCCCAAGGCCACCCUGUAAGCAGGGUAGUGCCUUUUCCCUGCCCCUCCUCCUCCGGCCCCUCAGCGCUGUUGCCUGCUGGUGGCCUGUCAGUGCGCCGGCCCCGUACUCGGGGUGCGUGCCGCGGCCUUUGGCCUUCUGUCCCUACUUGAGAAGCCCCUUGGCGCGUUGAGGCCUGUGGCCUCCGUGCAGCCCCGGGACAGGUCACAGGCUCUUGUGUGUUGCUUGCGGGUUGCGGGUUUAUUCCCAGGGGUUGGCUGCGCUGCGUUGUCCUUCCCUUCUGGAAAGUCGCAUCUGUGUGCGUGUUCCCCUUCCUUUCCUUGUUUGUGUUUGCGGAGUGACUGAGCGACUGUGCUUUUCCUUUAGGCCCCCACAAAGAUGGCUGCAGCUUAGCUUUGGCUUCCUAGGGGGGAAUGGAGGACUCCGGUGCAUGCCGCAAGGGGGGCGUUCCCCCUCAUCUUAGUCCCGCGGGCGCUGCAAGUGUCCUGUCUGCCUGUCUCCUUUUUUCCUAGUAGAGAUCUGAGCCACGUGGUAACUCUGUGGCCGAGGCCACCCUGUAGCCAGGGCUUGGGCCUGUCCUUGCGUGGCCGCCUGUUCUGCUGGCGGCGUGACAGCCCCGUACUCGGGGUGCGUGUCACAAUCUGUGGAGCCCUCUGUCCCCCGAGCAGCCCGCCCCCCCCGUAAUCAGGGCUGGGGAGGCUGCAGCGUUGCAGCCGGCUGCUCUAGUUAUCCAGCUGGUGGGAAUGACCCCUCCCUGUCCCGUCAGAGGGUGCAGGUUGAGGUGAUGCUUGUGUGUGGGGUGACCUCCCCGCUCGGCGGGUCGAGGUGGUUCCCUGGGCUGCCAAAGACGUGGUGAUGUCCUGCUGCCGGGCGGGCCAGCCUGUAGCUCAGGCGUUGGCGGGAGCUGCGUGCUCCGUGGGGCUUCUUGAUGAUGGCGAGGUGCGGGGUACCGUCCUGUAGGCAGGGCUGUGCGUGCCCCCUGUGCUUGAUGAGCUGCGUUCUGAGACGCCCCCUGUACUCAGGCGGGAGUGUGGCCCCGGCCUUUCAGAGGCACGGGGCCGCGAGGUGUGGAGUUGGGCUUGCGCCCUCCCUGGGAUGGGGGCUAGGAUCCCGGCCGCGGCCUUUGGCCGUGCCGCCCCGCUGCCUGGCGGCUGAGAGUCGUUCCUGCUGCUGGGGGGGAAACCGAGCUCUGUGGCUCCAGGGGUGUUUCUGGCCCGCCUGUAAUCAGGGUCAGGGCGCGUGAGCCUUUAUGCUCUGCUGGCAGCCUGUGUGGGGUGACCGCCCCGCUAGCGGGGUGCGUGUCAAGGUGCCCCGGAGUGAGAGAGAAGGAGCCUCUCUCGGCCGUAGGGAGGGGGGCUGCCCUGUAAGUCAGGGAGCGGCCGUGCCCCCGAGUCCCCGGCCCUUUGCAAUGGAGGCAGUGGCGGGGGGUGCCCUGUAAGCAGGGAAGCGGACUCCUUUGGCCUCUGCUAUUUGUGUGCCCAGCUCCAUUUGCCCAGUCUGCCCGCCUCCGUGAUCCCCUGCAGCGCCGGCUGGAGCCUCCGCAGCGUGCCAGUGAGGAUCUGCUGCCGAAGAAAGGCGAAGCGGCGUGGGCAACUGGGAGGCAGGAGCGAGGAAGAAGAGGAGCGAUGUUGAAGUCCAGGGUUUUCACUGUCUUAUCUAUGUCAAUUAGCUUUGGUUUUUAUUAUUUGUUUUUCAAAUGAGUAUUUAAGACUCCUUUUUUCUCUGUCUUGCCUUUCUCUC